CUACGGGGGGCAGCAGUGAGGAAUAUUGCACAAUGGGGGGAACCCUGAUGCAGCAACGCCGCGUGGAGGAUGACGCAUUUCGGUGUGUAAACUCCUUUUAUAUGUCAAGAAAAUGACGGUAGCAUAUGAAUAAGCACCGGCUAACUCCGAGCCAGCAGCCGCGGUAAUACGGAGGGUGCAAGCGUUACUCGGAAUCACUGGGCGUAAAGGACGCGUAGGCGGGUUGGAAAGUCAGGUGUGAAAUCCUACAGCUUAACUGUAGAACUGCACUUGAAACUUCUAAUCUAGAGUAUGGGAGGGGGAGAUGGAAUUAGUGGUGUAGGGGUAAUAUCCGUAGAUAUCACGAGGAAUACCUAAAGCGAAGGCGAUCUCCUGGAACAUUACUGACGCUAAGGCGUGAAAGCGUGGGGAGCAAACAGGAUUAGAUACCCGAGUAGUC
rnacentral:rRNA from 1 species